rnacentral:rRNA from 1 species
GAUGAACGCUGGCGGCGUGCUUAACACAUGCAAGUCGAACGAAGCGAAUUUAUUGGAUCUUUCGGGAAAAGAUAAAUUUGACUUAGUGGCGGACGGGUGAGUAACGCGUGGGUAACCUGCUCUGUACAGGGGGAUAACAGUUAGAAAUGACUGCUAAUACACCAUAAGCGCACAGUGUCGCAUGACACAGUGUGAAAAACUCCGGUAGUACAGGAUGGACACGCGUCUGAUUAGCUAGUUGGUGAGGUAACGGCCCACCAAGGCAACGAUCAGUAGCCGGCUUGAGAGGGUGAACGGCCACAUUGAGACGGAGACACGGCCCAAACUCCUACGGGAGGCAGCAGUGGGGAAUAUUGCACAAUGGGCGAAAGCCUGAUGCAGCGACGCCGCGUGAGUGAUGACGUAUUUCGGUAUGUAAAGCUCUAUCAGCAGGGAAGAUAAUGACGGUACCUGACUAAGAAGCCCCGGCUAACUACGUGCCAGCCGCCGCAGUAA